UAACUUUCAACAACGGAUCUCUUGGCUCUCACAUCGAUGAAGAACGCAGCGAAAUGCGAUAAGUAAUGUGAAUUGCAGAAUCCAGUGAAUCAUCGAAUCUUUGAACGCAGAUUGCGCCCUUUGGUAUUCCGAAGGGCAUGCCUGUUUGAGUGUCUU
rnacentral:rRNA from 1 species